AGGAGGGUUUCUGGUUUAACA
rnacentral:siRNA from 1 species